rnacentral:rRNA from 1 species
GUCCACGCCCUAAACGAUGCGAACUGGAUGUUGGGCUCAACUUGGAGCUCAGUAUCGAAGCUAACGCGUUAAGUUCGCCGCCUGGGAGUACGGUCGCAAGACUGAAACUCAAAGGAAUUGACGGGGCCGGCACAAGCGGUGGAGUAUGUGGUUUAAUUCGAUGCAACGCGAAGAACCUUACCUGGUCUUGACAUCCACGGAACUUUCCAGAGAUGGAUUGGUGCCUUCGGGAACCGUGAGACAGGUGCUGCAUGGCUGUCGU